CUCAAAAUGUUGACUAGCCUUUGACUCCGUGGCCAACGUAUAUGAAGCAGCUCUGCAUAAGAGUAAUUACAACGGCAAGCUUGAAUAUUCCCCUGAUAAACCUCCAACAACUACAGCCCAAAAACGUAAACGUCAAAGAAGCAUCAUCUGGUUCAUCCCUCCUUUUACCAAGAAUGUUAGUGAAUGCCCACUCCAGAAAAAGUGUUUAACGAAGGGUAUAGUCUACAAGGCAGUGAUAAAAACAAAGGAAGAUCGCGAAACGA